CCGUGACAACACUAAUCUGGAGGGGGUUCAUCUGCAAAAACUAAUGAAAAACUAAACAACAAUAUUCGGCAUUCGGCCAAGCGUUUAAUAUUAUUCGGCUUCGGCCACAAAUUUUCAUUUCGGUGCAUCCCUACCACAAACAUCCAUUUGGACUCGAGGAUAAACUGAUUCAAUUCUGGUGGUCAAAGUUUAAAGGUCACUGUAAGCUCAAAAACAAGGUUUGGGCCAUAAGUCAAGAAUUUAUAUGCUAAUUCAGUUCGACAACUCACGUUUUAAAUGUUUAUUUUAACAGCUGGACAUAGAGUGACACAGAGCUGCUUCUCUGUUUAAUCUGUCUGUUAAUUAGUCUACAGUGAGACAUCAGUCUAUAUGUUGUACGUGCUACACUAAAUCAGUCUGUGAGAUGAAAUUACCACAUGCACACACAUGCAAUCCAGUGCUAUGCUGCUAGUUUGUGUGUGAUGUGGAUUAUAGUGCAUUGCCAUUCUUCUUGAUAGUUGUAGUCUAUUGUGUGAUAUGGAUGCCGGCGACAGAUCUGUUUAAAAAUUGCUGCGACAACACAGACGUUUCAUAUACGGCAAGACAUAUACUGUAUAACGCAAAGUGUCUCUGUCUCCUUCCCUCCCUCGGCCUCUCUGUUGAUGCUCUGUGCAGAAAUAAGAUUAAUAGCCUAAAUAGAUAAAAAAUCUUUAAAUUAUUAACUAGUUUCAUUUGAAAGGCCAACAGAUGGAAAACGACUUUUUAACCCCCUAAGAUUUUUAGUUGUUUCAUACUACAAUGGAUUUCGGCCUACUUGAUUCUUUUAUAGUCAUGUUCUAGUUUUGUGUCCUGUGCUGCAAACCUUUAAACCUCUGUAGCUCCAGUGCUAAUGUGCAAAAAGUUAAUGUACAGCCCUAAAUUUUCAUUCACAUGUUGUGCAGCUGUAUAGAGAGAGUCUGUUUUCACAAAAGUGCUUGUGACAUCCCAAAUGUGGCUCUGACUUGCAGCUGAACAUGUCACCCAUUUUGUAGAAAAUACCAAGAUAUAUAUCGUGUAUCACCAGUCAGCCUGAAAAUACCGAAAUAUGAAUUUUCAUCGCCCAGCCCUAGCAGCCAUACUGAUGCAGGGCAGCAGUAUCAUUGACAAGGCACAGGGAGAGCUGGGAAGAUUUUGCAGCUUAAAUAGGCUACCAAAUUGGGAGGGUGUAUUCUGUAGAUGACAUAUGGAGAGUGAUGUAUGACUUGGGUAUAAGUCAGUGCAGCUGGAGUUGACUGCCUGUAGUAGCUCACAGGCAUUGCUCCAUUUAUGACAAAAUUUAAUGCAAAUGUCUCAUAGGAUAAAAUGAUGACGUGAUGACAUUUUAUAUCCAAAAGGUCAAAGCUCAGCUGUACUAUGACAUCAUGAUGUUCUGCAAAAACACUUUUCUGUUCAUUACUGAAUGUCAUAACUCAGGAACAGAAGGGGAGGCAUUUCGUCAGAUACUGAAUUGGUGACACUAAUCUUGGGUGUUUGUUGGGUCCAUGUCUUAGAAUAUGUAGCUUCUUUGCAUCAACAUCCAUAUCUGAAACAUUGAGUCUAGACAGACAUAGAUGUAAACUGUAACUGCGACUUGACUGGUUUGUGAAGGCGUAAGAUCUAGUGUUGUGACUGAUAGACAAUAUCGUCUGUCAGCUGCAACAGAAAAAGCAGACUUUUGCACGUCAUUUGCAUAUUUGUUACGUGUACCACAUGCUUUAUCCUACUGACGCUGUUUCAUUUCUUCCCUUUACAGAGAAGACCGAAAGGUAAGAGGAUUUUCUUUUUCUAUACUUUGAAAUGGGCUUUAGCAGAUAAUCCACAUGGGUUUGCGGCUUCAGACUGACUUUACACUUUUUACUCAGUGAAAUGCAGGUUUCCUUCAGAUUACAUGUGUAAAUUGGUCGGCUCUCUCUUACCUCUCUUCCCCUUUUCCACCAGAUAUGCUCUGGUUCUCGAACUGGUUCUGUUCAGGAUUCUUAGACCUUGGUGCUAUCUAUUGAACCAGCCCACGUUUCCACCAGUUUUGAGUCGAGCCAUUGUAAUAAAGGAUGCGCCAUCAGCGGAAGGUGUUUCAUAAUGCUCAACAGAAGUAAAGAGUUGUAGCAACAUUGCUGAGCACACUGAUUACCUGCAGGCUUUUGCUCUGUUAUUACAGAUAUUUGUUUUUAUCCAAAAAACAAUCAUUAUGCAGGAGACUAUUACAUGCAAGACUCCAUUCUUUUCCCAACCUGUAUAAUAUGACACACUGACUGAUGUUGUCACAGUUUUCACUUCAGGUGAAAGAAAACCUGCUAUUUUUUGGUUCCAGCUGGGGACCAAAUUUUCGGGUUGUGAAGCAAUCUAUUUUUGGUCGAAAUGCUCCGAACGGUUCAUAAUUAGGCGCAGGAACCAGAGCAGAACUUGUUCAGUGUUGGUGGAAAAAGGGGUAUCUGUGACAAGCUCAACAUGUUCUUUUCAUUCUUCCCGCAGCAAACCGAAGCCCAGCGUGGUCUACCAGCCCACAUCAGUGUAUGGUGGUGAUGAUGAUGAUGGGGAAUUCAAACAGAAGUCAUCAUUCGUGGUAUAGUCUGCAGUAAACAAUCAAGACAGGAGAACACCUUGGUUUUAAAUGACUCUCAGCGUGGGAUUUCCCAAAGUUUUUAGUGAGUUUUUUUUUUGUUUGUUUUUUUUGUUUUUGCUCCGAAGUUGCAGUUUUUAUAAGCCAGUGUGAUUGUGUGAGUUGACCCAGCCUGUCUACUUUAGUGUCUCAGAUGCACCAACGUCAUAGGAAAAUAACUGACCACAUACAAGUGAUGUGUCCUCUUUGAUACGUUGAUAGGUUAUGAUAAUAGAAUGAGCUGUGGCUACCAGUGACGCAUUUUAGCCACGGACAUUUUUUGAUCUAUGUUUGGAGUUUGUGUUUUUGUGUGCUCCUGAUUUUCUGUGCCUCCCACUGUUUAAAUGAUGCAUCUGAAUGUGAACAUAUCAAAUCAAAUGGAAUACACAUACUCCCAGUAGUGGUAACAAGGAAAGUCCAGGCACGUAAAUGAGUUAUUUUGUAAGGAAAAUGGACACAAAUACCCUAAAGCUUGAUAAAACUUCUUUUACAGACACAUUUUUAUUACAUUUUCUGACCCACCAUCUUAAUUUCCUGCUGUGCGACUCUCUUAUCAGUCAGUCUGUGUAUCUGAGCAAAGCCACUGAAGGAGCUUGUGCAUCAUAGAUGGAUCAUAGAUUGUCUCUGAGAGUUGUUUUUCCUUUUCAACAAACCACAAAACUGCUGUGAUGUAUAAUAAUCUUUUCUCUUAAUGUUUAAAUUUGCUUUUCAUGUAAAUAACACCUUUUUUACGUUUGUAAUUUAGAACAAAAAUAAAAUCAGUUAUCUCUGUGCUUCCUCACAUCAACUAGAAACUCUACUACUACUACUUGAAUGACAAUAACAUUUGAAGUGCACGUUUUCUUUAGCAUGUAAUGUCUAGUUGAACUUUUAUUAUAUUUGUCUGGCGGUGUUGUCUCUGAUACGCAAGUGUGUAAACUACAUGAAGCUAAUUGGUAUUUUACAGGGUGCAGACGGACAGUUCAGUACACUUCCUGUUAGGGCUGGGCAACAUGGAGACAAUCAAAUAUGAUAUUUUUCACCAAAUAUCUUGAUACUUGCGACUUGCAAUUUUUAUUUUUCAUCAUGCAAAACAAUCCGUGAACAGCAGUCCAACUUAAGUCCAACUCCAGCCUCCUACUCACCCUGUGCAAAACCCACGACACAAGGGAUAAACGUUUCAUACAUCAAUAAUGUGGCUUCAUAAAAAAAAAAUCUGUAUAAAAAAAUACAUAAAAUAACAAAUAAAUUAUUCAACAGAAUAGACAAGGACUUGUAAAUAUAUGAAAAUAUACAGUUCACCUGAUGGUGCUUGUGAUUCAGAUGCUUCCACCUUGCUCAUUGUGUGGCUUUUUCCCUGCUGAAGCCACACAAUGUUAUUUUUUUCUUUUCAAUAUUCAGUAAUGUGCAUAUAAUGACUGAGUCAGUAAAGGCAAAUAAUAGAACAGCUAUUAUAGUCUGGUAAACUCAGAAAAUUACAUCACUUUACUGUAACAUAGCCUUAAAGAUCAGGAAAAGACAACAUGAUAUCCAAAAUCCAUGAGUCAAAAAUCUAGUCUUCAUAUCGUAUCGUAUCAUAGUCAUAUCAUAGUCUCAUCAUAUCGAUAUAAUGUUGAUAUAUUGCCCUGCUCUACUUUCAGUUAAAGCAAACAGAUGUCAGCUGUGAUGCUAGUUAAUGACGGUGUAUUUAACAGGUUUUUAAAUGAUUCGGUUUAAAGGCAUCCUGUGUAACCUUAUAUUAAUUCAUUACCCAAACUGUUGUGACACACUGGUCCUAAUAUCAGCUCUGUCUACCUCCAGACAAUAAGGUGACAUGCAUUUGUCACAGAUAUCCACAGAUUCUCAGGGGAUGUGUUGGCUAGACAUCUUCAUGUAACAUGACUUUAUAUAAUCUAUCAUGUUAAAUACUGACACUGGGAAACGCUAUGUUUUUUUACAUUGCUUGACCUUUGUAACAUAGAGCUGAUGGAUCAGCUGAUGAUUGUAACAUUGCAUUGUGUAUUGGAUAAUAAAAUGUUUUAAAAUAGA